UAAUACUGGAUACGAGUAGCGACCGCAUGGUCAGUUACUGGAAAGAUUUAUUGGUUGGGGAUGGGCUCGCGGCCUAUCAGCUUGUUGGUGAGGUAAUGGCUCACCAAGGCGUCGACGGGUAGCCGGCCUGAGAGGGUGACCGGCCACACUGGGACUGAGACACGGCCCAGACUCCUACGGGAGGCAGCAGUGGGGAAUAUUGCACAAUGGGCGCAAGCCUGAUGCAGCAACGCCGCGUGAGGGAUGACGGCCUUCGGGUUGUAAACCUCUUUUAGCAGGGAAGAAGCGAAAGUGACGGUACCUGCAGAAAAAUUUUCUUUUUAACUACGUGCCAGCAGCCGCGGUAAUACGUAUGGCGCAAGCGUUAUCCGGAAUUAUUGGGCGUAAAGAGCUCGUAGGCGGUUUGUCGCGUCUGCUGUGAAAUCCGGAGGCUCAACCUCCGGCCUGCAGUGGGUACGGGCAGACUAGAGUGCGGUAGGGGAGAUUGGAAUUCCUGGUGUAGCGGUGGAAUGCGCAGAUAUCAGGAGGAACACCGAUGGCG
rnacentral:rRNA from 1 species